UACGUAUGUCCCGAGCGUUAUCCGGAUUAAUUGGGCGUAAAGCGAGCGCAGACGGUUGAUUAAGUCUGAUGUGAAAGCCCGGGGCUUAACUCGGGAAUAGCAUUUGAGACUGGUAAACUUGAGUGCAGUAGGGAUAAGUGGAAUUCCAUGUGUAGCGGUGAAAUGCGUAGAGAUAUGGAGGAAUACCUGUGGCGAAGGCGGC
rnacentral:rRNA from 1 species